GAAUGAGAGAAAUAGAAAAUCGACAUUAGGCAAACACCACGGUAAUACCUGUCCCAAACAAGAGCUACCGAUGAUUCCUCAGAUUAACAGCCAAAAGUUUUGAGACAGCUUAUUACUCAAAUAUCUCCCCCAAGAUAUUUUUUAAUUACAAAGGGAUUAGUAGUAACUUCAUGGUGGAGAAACUUGACCAAAAUACCUUAAACAAGUGAUGUCGGCAUAAGAUAGAACACUGUUGACGUUGAGAAAUGAGACAGAGUACAUGGGAACCCCAGACCAUACAAAACACAGGCAGUGAAGAUGAACUCACUGCUCUCGUGGGCCAGGUGAGCAAGGGGCCUUCAGAACUGGGGCUGACGCUGGCGUCUCAGAGUGGCUGGGGUGGAUGGGCUGCUGUGGAAUCUCUGCUGCCCAAGCUGUCUCUACUGGCUUGGCAGGUACGAGUGCCGUGAGCAGGGACAAACUUGGCAACUGGGAGGAACAGCAAGGAGGCAGCACAGGAGCUUACAGAUGAGUGAGAGGAGGAUGGUGAGAGGCGAGAUCAGACACACAGCGUGAGUCAGACCGUCAGGACCACAGCAGAAAUGGAAGCAGAAGCCUCUUAAGAAAGUCCCCACAAGAAACCUGUCCUUGUUGCAUUCAGAGAAAAGACAUUCACAUGCUGGUCUGCUGUCAAAGCUUCUCUCUCAGAGCUGACGGAGGAGUGCCCGCCUCUGGUCUGGAAAUUCAUCAGGGAUGAGACCGGAGAGACAGCCUGCCCGAAGACAGAGCUUUAUGUGCUUCUCUCCAGCCUUUGAAGGGCCUCUGAAGAGGCCACAAGCGGAUGGACUGGUGCAGCUGGCUGCGCGACGCUCCUUGCAGCUCGUGACAGUGACCCAGGAACAGACACUGUAUGACAACAGAACUCAAGACUCCUGCUGUGACUCCCCAUCUCAGUCCCCGAGGAGGAGAGGCUCACCUGCCAUGGCUUCCAGUGCGCUUCGGGCGUUCAAGAAUGGACAUGUAGACACGGG
ensembl:lncRNA